rnacentral:rRNA from 1 species
AACGCAAAUCGCGCUCGAGGCCUCGGCCGAGAGCAUGUCUGCCUCAGCGUCGUCUCAACCCCUCCCUUUCCCCCUUAUCGAAUUCGAUGAGGGCUGGAAAGGGGAGCUGGUCGUUCCGGUGCCCAGCCUCCGGAUCGGUCGAAAUGCAGAAGGGCCCUUCACUCACCAUAGGGCAUCGAAAGGUAGAGGCCUCUCACCAGGCUGGAUCCGAUCGAUGCCCGAGUGCCAAGGCCGCCCUGAAGCCGGAGAAUCACACACCCAGACUUUGACCUGAGUUCAGGCAAGAGCACCCGCUGAACUUAA